UUUUUGGUGGGACAGUGUGUUGUCGGUGGAACAGUGUGUUGGUGGAACAGUGUAUUGUUGGUGGAACAGUGUGUUGUUGGUGUUGUUGGUGGAACAGUGUGUUGUUGGUGGGACAGUGUGUUGUUGGUGGAACAGUGUGUUGUUGGUGGAACAGUGUGUUGUUGGUGGAACCGUGUGUUGUUGGUGGGACAGUGUGUUGUUGGUGGAACAGUGUGUUGUUGGUGAACAGUGUGUUGUUGGUGGAACAGUGUGUUGUUGGUGGAACAGUGUGUUGUUGGUGGAACCGUGUGUUGUUGGUGGGACAGUGUGUUGUUGGUGAAC
rnacentral:lncRNA from 1 species